UUGAAUAUCUGAAUUGGGAAAAUGUUUGAUACGGAAAAUUAAAAGCUAUACAAGCUAGGACGGAUAUGACAGCUGAGGCAGAAACACCGCGUGUGCACCCACGACGAACCACGUCAGUUUGUGCUGAAACCAAAGAGCAACCCUGUUGGCAGAUAAUUUGGAUCCCUGAGGGAUGAUGAUUAAAAUGUACAACCAAAAGGGACAAAUCUUCAAGAAGCUGGCCAGCUUGCACUUGACAUCCGGCUUUUUGACUGCAGGACUGCUCUUCAUGCUGAGUGAACAAACGUUUGGGCAGCUGAUGGAGGCCUGGACAUAUGUCUUGCCGGACUCUGGGUACUGACAUGGAACACAUAAAGUAUUGGUAGACCUGUCUUUAGCUUAGGAGCUCUAAUUUGUUAAAUAAAAAGUAGUAUGUUUGUAAAAUAUUCAGGGCACUCCUUCUUAAGAGAUUUUUGAUCUCUAAGUUAUUUACUACUUCUAAUAAUAAUAGUAAUAGUUAAUGGAAAAAAAAAAAAAAAAACAUUUUCAACCUGAUUAAUUUCUUGAGAUUUGGCAUCAACAUUAACUUUAGUUCUUGAUAUACAAUAAAAUAAUGUACAGAUUUGAGAAUUACCUUGAAAAUCCCCAAACCUGUUCAUUAGAGCAGGUUUAGCAAUAUAUUCAAGGUAUACAGGAUACUGCCUUUGAAUUAUUGAUGAUCUUGUAAAUUCAUAUUAUACCUGAUAAGCCAGGAAACCCAGGAAUAGAAAGUAUUUUUAUUUAAACGGCUGUUUGGAUGCAUAAAUAGUGUAUAUGUCUCAGUUGAAAAAUCUAGACAAGGAGAAACAAUGUCAUUAACAUCAAAUCUUAUAUCAAUGUUGCCAACUUUUAUGUUACAUAUACACAUUUAAAGCUGACAGCUUGUAUUUAAUUUUAGAAAGUUUAUCAGAGCCUGAGGAAAUGUUAAGUAUCUAACAAAAUCCUUUAUAAUUGACAUUUUUAAAUGUAUUUCUUUGUGUCUUAGGUGACGGAAAUAACUAAAUUGAAUCACUGAAGUGGAGGAAAAAUUAAACAAGAUUUUCAAAGGCAAAGUAUAAAGAAAAUAUUUGUAAAGGUUAGUUUGCAUAACUUCUUCAGUCCCUUGGCUUUAACUGCCUCAGUUACUGGUUACUUCCAGCUCUACAAACCAUAAAUACAGCUGCUUGUUGAAGGCUGCAGUAAUUUGUUACAGUAAAAUAAAAAAAUAGCCUUGUGAAGAACAAUGAACACAAAACAGGUCAAGAAGGAAGUUUUGAAUCAUUUUAAAACUAUGUUGAAUGUUCUCUAAAGAUCUCAGCCUCAUUCACUUUGUGUGAGAUAAUGCUUUUUUGCAAAGAAAAAUAAGAGAUUUUUCAGUCCAGCGCAGAUCCCUAACAAACUGAAGCUGUAAUUUCAGUGAAAAGUAUUUAGAGCUUUUAUGAAGUAUUGAUUUUGAAAACCAUGUAUGAUUUAUUCUUCCACUUCACUGUCAUGCACUUCUUUGUUGGCCUGUCAUGUAAAAUCCCAAUAAAAUAUAUUGAGGUUUGCAUUUGUAACAUGACAGCAGUUGAAAAUAGAUCGAUGCUUUUUCAAGGCAUUUUCCGAUUAUCACCACAUCACUCUCUUACAAGCCUUCACUGUUGCCAUGACUGGAUCAAAUUAGAAA